UGCUGGUAUGGAGAGACCAGAAUACUGAUUCAGCCCAAGUAUCUGUAACACAGGGUGAAUUUUAAUACCCCUUUGCUACCCUAUUGGCUAAAAAUACACAUUGAUUUCUCCUUGAACUUUGAGUUGCUAUGUCUCCAGUCUCAGGGAAUGAUGAUGCUUUCCCACCUCUUCAUCCAUGGAGAAAAAUCUUGAGGACAGCAGUAUUGAAGGAGAAUAUUUGAAUUUUUAAAAACAUCAUCAUCAUUA